GGAGGAAGGUGGGAUGACGUCAAGUCAGCAUGGCCUUUAUAUCCAGGGCUACACACACGCCACAAUGGCCGGUACAGAGGGUAGCCAAGCCGCGAGGCGGAGCAAAUCCGAAAAAGCCGGUCUCAGUUCGGAUUGCAGGCUGCAAUUCGCCUGCAUGAAGUCGGAAUCGCUAGUAAUCGCAGGUCAGCAUACUGCGGUGAAUACGUUCCCGGGCCUU
rnacentral:rRNA from 1 species